UUUUUUUUUUGAGGUGGAGUUUUGCUCUUGUUACCCAGGCUGGAGUGCAGUGGCAUGAUCUCGGCUCACCACAACCUCCGCCUCUCGGGUUCAAACGAUUCUCCUGCCUCAGCCUCCUGAGUAGCUGGGAUUUACAGGCAUGAACCACUCUGCCUGGCUAAUUUUGUAUUUUUGGUAGAGACGGGCUUUCUCCAUGUUGGUCAGGCUGGUCUGGAACUCCUGACCUCGGGUGAUCCACCCGCCUCGGCCUCCCAAAGUGCUGGGAUUACAGGCGUGAGCCACUGUGCCCGGCCAAUCUCUGACGUUUUUUUGAGAGUGAACCUACCUUCAGAGUAGAGGAUCUGGGAGCCUGAAGUUUUCUUUGAAGGAUUUUCAACCAUACCUUCUCGUUC
rnacentral:lncRNA from 1 species